rnacentral:misc_RNA from 1 species
UGUAAAUUGCACUCUAAAAAAAGAAGAUUCAAUUGUUAUUUUUAUGCUACUAGCCUAGAAAAUUUUCUGAAGACCAACGUUUUGAGAUGGUUUGAUUAUAGCUAAGGACACUGUGAAAUAGCAUUAUAAAUCUUGAAAUUUGAAAAUCUAAUCUUGGAGUGAAGCUUUCUUCAGCGUGAAAACAUGGAUAAAUUUCAUGAUUUCCCAUGUUCAUAAAUGGGGUUUGAAGGGAAACAAAAAAUUCCGAAGGAAAACCCAAAAAGAAACAUGAUGACAAAACAUAUUGGAUACCCAACUAUCCUUAAA